rnacentral:snoRNA from 1 species
AAACUAUGAUGAGGACACUCUAAGAGAAGAUCUUUAAAACGUUCCAUACAUCGAACAAAUGAUUCAUUUGGUUUCUGGCGAAACUGGAGAAUGUCGUUCCUAAGUUU